rnacentral:sRNA from 1 species
GGGAAGCGGCGCCAUAUUGGCGUCGGCCGCGCUGUAUUGUCAUAAAUAGAGCCGGUUUUGUGGUGUUUUCACUACUCGGUUGGAUGCCUCAGCCAUAAAACACCGUGCUGGACAGCCAGCGUCAACAAAAGCAUUAUGGAAUUACCUCCCCAAUUAGUUUGGCAUCUCCUAAAGAAAUUGAUCAUAUUUACACACAGAAAUUAAUUGACGCCAUGAAACCAUUUGGAGUGUUUGAAGAUGAGGAAGAAUUGAACCACAGGCUGGUGGUUCUUGGUAAAUUGAACAAUUUAGUAAAAGAAUGGAUUUCUGAUGUCAGCGAGAGUAAGAACCUCCCACCUUCUGUUGUGGCUACUGUUGGUGGUAAAAUUUUCACAUUUGGAUCCUACAGGCUUGGAGUACACACCAAAGGAGCUGACAUUGAUGCACUUUGUGUAGCUCCAAGACAUGUGGAAAGAUCUGAUUUUUUUCAGUCUUUUUUUGAAAAAUUGAAACAUCAAGAUGGCAUUAGAAACUUAAGAGCUGUAGAAGAUGCCUUUGUACCUGUUAUAAAAUUUGAAUUUGAUGGUAUUGAAGUUGUAGAGUUACUGAUGAAAUUUUGCAUUUAGUGCCAAAUAAAGAAACUUUUAGACUCACCCUAAGAGCUGUCAAAUUAUGGGCAAAACGACGUGGUAUUUAUUCCAACAUGCUAGGAUUCCUUGGUGGUGUCUCCUGGGCAAUGCUAGUUGCAAGAACUUGCCAAUUGUAUCCAAAUGCAGCAGCAUCUACUUUAGUUCAUAAGUUCUUUUUAGUUUUUUCCAAGUGGGAAUGGCCAAAUCCUGUGCUGCUGAAGCAACCAGAAGAAAGCAAUUUGAAUUUGCCUGUCUGGGAUCCUCGGGUAAAUCCAUCAGAUAGGUAUCAUCUCAUGCCCAUAAUCACCCCUGCCUACCCACAACAGAAUUCUACGUAUAAUGUGUCCACAUCAACUCGAACAGUAAUGGUAGAAGAAUUUAAACAAGGUCUUGCAGUCACAGAUGAAAUUCUUCAAGGAAAAUCAGAUUGGUCCAAACUACUUGAGCCACCGAAUUUCUUUCAAAAGUAUAGACAUUAUAUAGUAUUGACUGCCAGCGCAUCAACAGAAGAAAACCAUCUAGAGUGGGUUGGAUUAGUAGAAUCUAAAAUCCGUGUACUUGUUGGAAACUUGGAACGGAAUGAAUUUAUUACUCUUGCCCAUGUGAAUCCCCAGUCAUUCCCAGGGAAUAAGGAACAUCAUAAAGACAACAAUUACGUAUCAAUGUGGUUCCUUGGGAUAAUUUUUCGGAGAGUAGAAAAUGCAGAAAGUGUCAACAUAGACUUGACAUAUGAUAUACAGUCAUUUACUGAUACAGUGUACAGACAGGCAAACAAUAUAAAUAUGCUGAAGGAGGGAAUGAAAAUUGAAGCAACUCAUGUAAAGAAAAAACAACUUCACCACUACCUUCCUGCAGAAAUUCUUCAAAAGAAGAAAAAGCAAAGUCUCUCUGAUGUCAAUCGAAGCUCGGGCGGACUUCAAUCCAAAAGAUUGUCUCUGGAUAGCAGUUGUCUGGAUAGCUCCAGAGACACUGAUAAUGGAACACCUUUUAAUUCUCCAGCGUCCAAGUCUGAUAGCCCUUCUGUAGGAGAAACAGAAAGGAAUAGUGCUGAGCCUGCUGCUGUAAUUGUGGAGAAGCCACUGAGUGUACCACCAGCCCAAGGACUUUCCAUUCCAGUGAUUGGCGCAAAAGUUGACUCUACAGUAAAAACUGUAUCACCCCCCACUGUGUGUACCAUUCCUACCGUAGUAGGACGAAAUGUCAUUCCUAGAAUCACAACACCUCACAACCCUGCCCAGGGACAACCGCAUCUGAAUGGAAUGUCAAAUAUAACUAAGACUGUUACACCCAAGAGAUCCCAUUCCCCAUCCAUAGAUGGGACUCCUAAGAGGUUGAAAGACGUAGAAAAGGUAAAGUUACAACUUUAGUGGUGAUUCAGUAGUUGAUAUUUUUUAUAGUUAAUACUAAAGAAACAAUUUUCCAUAGCUGUUGGUGUUCUGUUAGGAGUUGGCUGAAAAGAAUAUUUACCCAAAUCUUAAAGAAACAAUAUUAAUUGCUCAUCCUAAAUUGAAAUUACUAAUACGUCUGAAAAUUUGAAUGAUUGGUCUGAGUUUCUCCUUGACUUACAGAAGUCAUUACUGAUAACAAAAUCUCAUUUCUUGUGUGUUGAUAUGCCCUGCUUCCAGUAGGUGGUGGUAAAACUAUAUUUGUUAGAAUCUGAAUUGAUUUAACCAAAAAGAUCACCCAUUUAACCAAAAAGAUCACCCAAACUGUAGAAAUUAACGGUGGCAGUUGAAUUCAAUCUAAUUUAAAUUAUCUUCUCUUACCAAUCCAUGUUUAUAGUAAUUUUUAUAAUAGUGUAACCAAUAACUAGUCUUCCAGUUUAUAUAGAUUUAUAUGGUUUUUUGUAGGUACAUAAUAGCAAUCUAUUUCAAUGUUUAUAUUUUAGUUUAUUCGACUUGAAUCAACAUUUAAGGACCCCCGCACUGCUGAAGAAAGAAAAAGAAAAUCAGUGGUAAAUAUAUUAAUAGUGUGCUUCAGAAUAUUUAUUGUAAAGCGCCAUGUAUGAGGAAAAGUGCCAUAUUAGAAAGUAGGUCAGAUUAGAUUUAUUUUCAGGUUUUCGUUAGGUUUUAUUUUAAGUAGAAAUAAGUGUUUGCAUAUAGGAAAGUUAGUUUUCACUUGUGUUGAUUCUUCUGUUUUUAGGAUGCCAUUGGAGGAGAAUCUAUGCCUAUUCCAACUAUUGAUACAUCACGCAAAAAGAGACUACCCAGUAAAGAACUACCAGAUUCUUCAUCUCCAGUUCCAGCAAACAACAUCCGUGUCAUCAAAAAUUCCAUUCGACUGACCCUUAAUCGGUAAAAGCAGUGCCUCCUCACUUAAGUGAACAAGCAAUCAUUUAGUGGCAUAGAUGCAGCCACUUGUUUUUUAAAUAGAAGUGGCUGUCAUACGUGAAAUAAGGUGAAAGUGACAGCCUUCAGCCUAAUAACCUUGAAGUGGUUUUUGAACUGUCAAAUUUUGACCUGCAGAUGCUGUAGCAUUCUCUCACUGAUUGCUACAUACACUUCUCUGAGGAUCACCUGCUGUCAAAUUGCCAUCUACAGUAUUACAGCUUUGCAUUUGGGGGUUUUACUGCCUUAACUUUCAAUGCUUGUUAUGGGAACCAGUUCUUAGCCACUUGGACACUGAUAACAAGUCCUGAACUCCUUUUUUGUUUUGUUUUUUGUGUUUUUUUUUUUUUUUUGUCUUAUGUUGUAAUCAUUGUAUAGAGCUAAAAAAAUUGAAAACAAACAAAAAAAUUGUCUUGUAUUUUCCAAAUGUUAAUACAUUUACUUUAGCAUUGAAGACACUUUGAAACCUGAGAUAAAUGAAUGUGAGAUAUCUUUUCUGCUUUCCUCAUUUGUGUAGAUGUACUGUCUGUUCUGUUGAUUUAAAUUAUUUUUUUCCAGAUUGGCACAUGAAAUAUUUAAACUUUUUUGUGUGCCUUUCUGUCCAAAUGUUGCAUAGUUACCAGGGAAGAUUAGUCCAGUGAUUACAUAAGAGUUGGGCACCAUAAAUUCUCUAUAUUUUGCCUCCCAUGGAGGCCUUUGAAAUGCAUCUUUAUUAAAAAUCAAAAUAUAACCAGGAUACUGAAAGUCAGUAUAUGAAUGGUAAAAUUGUUACAUAUCCUAUUUCAUGCCAUUCUUGUUAGUUGACUGGUAUUUUUUACUGAGGAGCAACUCAUUCCAGCAUCAACAAUAAGAUAACCUUUAAGUGUGACAAACUUGUAUUUUUGAGGUGUAAAAUUAACUUGGCAUGAUAAUUCCUGAUCAUUAUUUACCCCACAACUUCAAAUAGUUUCUUCACGGACUAGGCAUGCAGAAAUAAGCAGUGGAUUUUAUUGAAACCUAAAGGCAUUUUGAAUGACAUUGUUACCAACCAUUAAUUGGCUCAGGACCUUUGUAAUUUUUAUUUAACUAUAUGAGUUGUCUUUUUUUACGCUGCUUUUUUCAAUGCAUUUCUUAAUAUUUUUUAAGUUUCAUGAAUGCAUGCUCAGUUUAUUAAAAUCCAUAACCAUGUAAUUCUUGUAAUAUGUUGAUUCAGUGUUUUGUAAAUGAAGUCGUAUGUAUUUUCAGAGUAUUUUUGUAUGUACUGUAAGAUACCAUCUUUUCAAAGAGAAACGUUUAAAACCUU